rnacentral:rRNA from 1 species
UGGGGAAUAUUGCACAAUGGGGGAAACCCUGAUGCAGCGACGCCGCGUGAGUGAAGAAGUAUUUCGGUAUGUAAAGCUCUAUCAGCAGGGAAGAUAAUGACAGUACCUGACUAAGAAGCCCCGGCUAACUACGUGCCAGCAGCCGCGGUAAUACGUAGGGGGCAAGCGUUAUCCGGAUUUACUGGGUGUAAAGGGAGCGUAGACGGAGUGGCAAGUCUGAAGUGAAAACCCUGGGCUUAACCUGGGGACUGCUUUGGAAACUGUUAAUCUAGAGUGUUGGAGAGGUAAGUGGAAUUCCUGGUGUAGCGGUGAAAUGCGUAGAUAUCAGGAAGAACACCGGAGGCGAAGGCGGCUUACUGGACAAUAACUGACGUUGAGGCUCGAAAGCGUGGGGAUCAAACAGGAUUAGAUACCCUGGUAGUCCACGCUGUAAACGAUGAAUACUAGGUGUCGGGGAGCAAAGCUUCUCGGUGCCGUCGCAAACGCAAUAAGUAUUCCACCUGGGGAGUACGUUCGCAAGAAUG